rnacentral:rRNA from 1 species
UACGAAGGGGGCUAGCGUUGCUCGGAAUCACUGGGCGUAAAGGGCGCGUAGGCGGAUCUUUAAGUCAGGGGUGAAAGCCUGAGGCUCAACCUCAGAAUUGCCUUUGAUACUGAAGAUCUUGAGACCGGAAGAGGUUAGUGGAACUGCGAGUGUAGAGGUGAAAUUCGUAGAUAUUCGCAAGAACACCAGUGGCGAAGGCGGCUAACUGGUCCGGUUCUGACGCUGAGGUGCGAAAGCGUGGGGAGCAAACAGGAUUAGAUA